AACAGGCUACCCACUAAAGCGCUAAUUGGCAAAACCCCGUACGAAAUGUGGCAUGGUGUAAAACCGAAAAUAAGUCACUUGAGGGUAUUCGGUUCCACUGCAUAUGUUCAUAAUAAAACUAGAAAGACCAAAUUUGACGAAAAAUCAUUUAAAUCAAUUUUAAUUGGUUAUGUGCCUAAUGGUUAUAAAUUAUUUAAUACUGAAAAUAAUCAGUUUUUAAUUGCCAGAGAUGUAUUGUUUGACGAGUCAAAUUUUGGUGAAUCUAGACCAAUAUGCAGUGAUGACAUUCCUAAUAAAAUCAGCAAGCCGAACAAUGAGUCGGUGGAGUUGAUCAAGCCAAUAUGCAGCAAUAAUGAAAUUCCCGCCAAAAUCAACAAGCCUAAUAAUUCGGUGGAGUUGAUAGGCAAUACACAAAGUGACGUAAAUAACAAGUCGCUAAAUGACAACAAUGAACAGUUACAAAGUGACGUUAGCAACAAGUCACUCGACACCGAACACAGUUGUUUACGACGCAGCGAUAGAAUUCGUAAUCUACCCCCUAAAAAUUAUGAAUUAAUGAAUGACCCAGAUUUAGCAGUUUUAUCGCUUUGUUCUAAACAACAGUUACCAUUACCGGUGCAUUUCAAUGAUAUUUUCAAUCGGCCAGAUACAAAUGAGUGGUUAAGUGCAAUAAAAAGUGAAAUUGAUUCAUUACGUAGCAAUCAAACUUGGUGUCUUGUGGAUAAACCUAGUGGUGUAAAUAUUGUAAGUAGCAAAUGGGUUUUUACUAUUAAAAAUAACGAGUUAGGUGAACCGAUACGAUACAAGGCCCGAUUAGUAGCGCGAGGUUUUAGUCAACAGUAUUUAGAAGACUAUGACGAAACGUUUGCCCCAGUUGCGCGGAUUACUACGUUUAGAAUGAUUUUAGCGUUCGCGAAUCAAAAUGAUUUACUUGUCCAUCAUAUGGACGUGAAGACUGCAUUUCUGAACGGCAUUUUAAAGGAGGACAUUUAUAUGCAGGUGCCAGAGGGUAUUUCUUCUAAGUCUAAUCAAGUGUGUAAAUUAAAUAAAACACUCUAUGGCUUAAAACAGUCUUCACGAUGCUGGUACGAACGUUUCGAUCAGGCGAUUAAGGGCAUGGGUUUCGAAAGCUCGAAAGUUGACCCAUGUUUGUACAUAUUGAAUAAAAAUUCGAUUGAUUUGAAUGUGUAUAUAGUUUUAUAUGUUGAUGAUUUAUUAAUAGUAACUAAAAGUGUACAAACAAUGCAACAACUUAAGAACUGUCUAAUGAAACAAUUUGAGAUGACCGAUUUAAAUGAUAUAAAAUUAUUCCUUGGCAUACGAAUUGAAAGAACCAAAGAUAAAAUAACUUUGGACCAAUCAACAUAUCUACAAAAUGUUUUAAACAAAUUUUCCAUGAGUGAUUGCAAUCCCUCAAAAUCACCUUUCCCAAAUAAAUUAAACUAUGACGCAUUGAAUAGUGAUGUACAAUACAAUGCACCCAGUAGACAAGUCAUAGGUUGCCUAAUGUACGCAAUGCUUUGCACGCGUCCUGAUUUGUGCGCGGCUGUUAAUAUUCUAAGCAGAUUUCAAAGUAAAGGCAAUGAGGAGUUAUGGAAAUGUUUAAAGCAUCUUUUAAGAUAUGUGAAGGGAACUUUAAAUCUUAAAUUGACUUAUCAUAAAUGUGAUUAUAAACAGCUAAUGACUGGUUAUGCGGACUCUGAUUGGGGAGGCGAUGAAACUGAUAGAAAAAGUACAACAGGAUAUUUAUUUCAAAUGUUCGAUAAUUGUACAAUUUCGUGGUGCACACGUAAACAAAAUACAGUGGCCGUUUCCUCAACAGAAGCCGAAUAUAUGGGUCUAUUUGAAGCUGUAAAAGAGGCUAUAUGGAUAAAAUCGUUACUUAUUAGUGUAUACAUAAAAGUAACUAAGCCUAUACUUAUUUAUGAAGACAACAAUAGUUGCAUUAGCAUUGCUAAUAAUCCCACAAAUCACAAAAAGUCAAAGCAUAUUGAUAUAAAAUAUCAUUUUACCCGUGAACAAAUAAACAACAAUGUAAUAAUGCUAGAACAUAUUUCCACAGGAAACCAACUAGCAGAUAUGUUCACGAAGGCGAUUCCAAUGACAAAGUUUCAUGAAUUAAGAGUAAAAUUGAAUUUAAUUUGAUUCUAUUAUAAUUGCAUAAUAUAAAUGUAACAUGAUUGUAUAAACUAACAAUAUAAAAUGAUUAAAAUGCAAUGUUGAGCUUUUUGAUUAGAGUGUAUAUUAAAUGUAUAAAAUACUUGAAUUUUUGAGGGGGACUGUUGGUAUAUUACAAAAAUCCAAGUCUACCUUCCAUUUGUUCAUUCAUUGUAUAAAUACAUUCAUUCACUCAUUCAGUCAAUCUGUCAUUCGUUCAUAAUCAUUAUUCUUGAUUCACUUGAAUACAGAACGUUGAACAGUCAA